GCGGCUGUGACGCAGGAGGCGGGAUGGCGCGUCGGCGCGUGAUGGCGUGAGGCACGUGGGCAGGUCAUGAUGCUGUAGCGAUGCGCCGAACUGCCGAAGGAGCCGCAGUUGCUGGAUCGAGUGGAGACGGAGACGCGCGAGCCACCGGCCGGAGUCAACGCACUGAGCACGGUCGACGGCAGCAACAGCAAGUGAUCAACGUGAGUGUGGUAAGUCCCUUGACUUUGUCACUCCCCAAGUUUCACUUUGUCCCGAUUCAGAUGCUCAAUUGCUCAAGUAGUCAAGUGUUCGUUGACUUGUUGGUAUAUGGGCUGUAGGCGUUUAUAUAGAUAGUGAGUUUGAGUCCCGAUUCAGAUGCUCAAGUACUGUAAUUACUACUAUGUGUAUGUAGAUAGCAGAUUGUUUUGACACCUUAUGCAGACAACAAAAUUGAUGUAUGUGUAUCAGUGUAUGCAGAGUUGCAGACAACAGACUAAAUUCUACUGUUAGGCUAAAUUCUACUGUUAAAUGUACUAUUUGUAGAUAAAUUCUACUAUUUAUUUAUAUAAAUUCUACUGUUAGGCUAAAUUCUACUGUUAAAUUAGACAACAGACUAAAUUCUACUGUUAGACAACAAAAUUGAUGUAUGUGUAUUAGUUCACUAGUUGUAGAUAAAGUGUACUAUUAGGCUAAAUUCUACUGUUAAAUGUACUUUUUCCUGUAACUAUGAGUGAUGUUAUAUAUUGUACUGUUUAUUUCAUCUUACUUAUACUGUUAUAUUUUCUAUAACAAAUUGUCACUUCUCAUUGCUGAUAUGUUAGGCUAACUAGUUGUAUCAUUUGUUGUUUGUAGAUGGCAGAACAAAGUUCUCGUAUUUCGCAUUCAGACACCUCCCCUUACAACGCUUCNN
rnacentral:lncRNA from 1 species